rnacentral:lncRNA from 1 species
AUUCCUCAUGCAUAUCCUGAGCUUCUCUUCUUACCUCUCUCAGUUCUAUCAAAGCUUUGGACUCUUUGUCCUCUACACUGCGGUAAAUGUUCGGAACUGAGAAGGAGAUACCCUGUAUAUUGCGCUCCAACCAAGCUUUGUAAGUUUCAUCGUACCCCGCAUUAAAUCGAUCUAUGGCAAUGGUGUCCUUGUUCAUUCGCACUGCUCUUUUCCAUUCUCUCAGCAUCUCUAAAGCCUCAGGCACUCUAUCAUCCCCGAUGUCGAACACAUAGAUAC